rnacentral:miRNA from 1 species
UAUAACUGUGUAUGCAAAGCGA